rnacentral:rRNA from 1 species
GGCGACGACGGGUAGCCGGCCUGAGAGGGUGACCGGCCACACUGGGACUGAGAUACGGCCCAGACUCCUACGGGAGGCAGCAGUGGGGAAUAUUGCACAAUGGGCGCAAGCCUGAUGCAGCGACGCCGCGUGAGGGAUGACGGCCUUCGGGUUGUAAACCUCUUUCGCCAGGGACGAAGCGCAAGUGACGGUACCUGGAGAAGAAGGACCGGCCAACUACGUGCCAGCAGCCGCGGUAAUACGUAGGGUCCGAGCGUUGUCCGGAAUUACUGGGCGUAAAGAGCUCGUAGGUGGUUUGUCGCGUUGUUCGUGAAAACUCACAGCUCAACUGUGGGCGUGCGGGCGAUACGGGCAGACUGGAGUACUGCAGGGGA